GGGGGUAUGGCGGAAUUGGUAGACGCUACGGACUUGGAAAAUCCGUCGACUUUUGAAAUCGUGAGGGUUCAAGUCCCUCUAUCCCCA
rnacentral:tRNA from 1 species